rnacentral:rRNA from 1 species
UACGUAGGGUGCGAGCGUUGUCCGGAAUUACUGGGCGUAAAGAGCUCGUAGGUGGUUUGUCGCGUUGUUCGUGAAAACUCACAGCUUAACUGUGGGCGUGCGGGCGAUACGGGCAGACUGGAGUACUGCAGGGGAGACUGGAAUUCCUGGUGUAGCGGUGGAAUGCGCAGAUAUCAGGAGGAACACCGAUGGCGAAGGCGGGUCUCUGGGCAGUAACUGACGCUGAGGAGCGAAAGCGUGGGGAGCGAACAGG